rfam:Apaloderma vittatum contig69327, whole genome shotgun sequence.
GGUCUGUGAUGAGUGUUGGCAUGUAUUAUCUGAUGUGGAGCUGAUGUGUCACCACUUUAGCUCUAGAAUUACUCUGAGCCCCA